UACGUAGGUGGCAAGCGUUGUCCGGAUUUACUGGGCGUAAAGAGCGCGCAGGCGGUUGAUUAAGUCGAAUGUGAAAGCCCCCGGCUCAACUGGGGAGGGUCAUUCGAUACUGAUCGACUUGAAGGCAGGAGAGGGAAGUGGAAUUCCCGGUGUAGUGGUGAAAUGCGUAGAUAUCGGGAGGAACACCAGUGGCGAAGGCGACUUCCUGGCCUGUUCUUGACGCUGAGGCGCGAAAGCUGGGGGAGCAAACGGG
rnacentral:rRNA from 1 species